CAGAAACCUGUCAUUUGUCCAGCAAACAGUAAUUAAGGGAGACAAGCGAGUCUGUCAAGCAAAAAUACCAAAGUGUCACUCAAAUUAUUUGUCCCACACGUGCUGGAAUCUGGCCAUCUAAACUAUCAACUAAAAGGAAAGGCUAUUUUGGUUCUGAAGCAGGAAAAUCAGACAUGUCUUGGCUCUUACCUUUGGCACUAACCUACUUAAUCUGACAAGUGAGACAAACUCAUUGGAAACCUAUCUGUUUUGCUUCAGUGUAAUCUGUAUAUAUUGCCUAUUCUUUUGUAGGGGAAAUAAUGUUGAAAACAUUCAGUCUUUUUGGCAGUUAAUCAACAAGUCAUACAACCUUACGUCUAACAGUCAGAAAUUUCCUAAUUAACCAUUAAAAAAAUGCAACAGUCAAAACCAUGAAACAGUUAUUUGCUCUAGGUUACUGUUUUUAUUUCCAUAACCACCUUUCUGCUAGACAAGAACAUUAGCAAAACCUGAGUCAGAAAAGCCGUGUCCGUGACAAUCCCGUUCUGUUUUCUUCUUCCAGUUACCACAUGGAGCUUUUUCACAGUUCCAGAGGUUCUCCUCAUUUUAAAACAUCAAAAAAGUACUACAAUUGAUGGCAGUUGUUGUUAAAUAAAGUUCAAUCAACUUUACAGAAUUUUAGUAUAAAUUCAAGCAUGUAAAUUAACACAAAACUUAAAAAAAAAAAAAAACACCAAACAAACCCAAGUGCUAGCUCACCUCUGGUGCCAUGAGAUGUAACAGCACUAUCUGUUUUUAUAUUUAGUGGUAAAAAUAUAAUCCAGUUUUAGCACCGAUCUACAAGAUUACAUGUUAAUGAAGAGAUAGGAUUUGGCUUACUGGAAGAUAACAGUCCUACUAUCCCUCAGUGAGGAAAUCUGUUCACUUUGCUGCAUCCUGGCUCACAGAAAAGACUAACACGUGAGGAAGAAGAAUAGUCUUUGUUAAGGCUUUUCAGUACUUAGAUCACCUAAGUAUUACUGUUGUGUUUUGCUGGAAGUGGAGAAUUGCAUCACACAUAGGAGAUCCCCAGGAGUUACACUGUUGUAGACAUGUCAGGCUGGAUCACAUUUAAAAUGCUGACCAUGGCUUUGCAGCCUUAGA